GGGGUUGUGGCUCAGCGGUAAAGCACUCGCCUAGCACAUGAGAGGCCUUGGGUUUGAUCCUCAGCACCACA
rnacentral:tRNA from 1 species